GACGUAGGGUGCGAGCGUUGUCCGGAUUUAUUGGGCGUAAAGAGCUCGUAGGCGGCUCGUCGCGUCGACCGUGAAAACCCGCGGCUUAACUGCGGGCUUGCGGUUGAUACGGGCGGGCUAGAGUUCGGUAGGGGAGACUGGAAUUCCUGGUGUAGCGGUGAAAUGCGCAGAUAUCAGGAGGAACACCGGUGGCGAAGGCGGGUCUCUGGGCAUUAACUGACGCUGAGGAGCGAAAGCAUGGGGGAGCGAACAGG
rnacentral:rRNA from 1 species